ensembl:lncRNA
AUUGAACCCAGGUCUCCUGCAUUGCAGGCGGAGUCUUCACCAGCUGAGCCACCGCGGAAGCACUUGCUGAACCUCAGCUCAGAGCCUUGACUCCCCUGGUGGAUGGCCAGAGCGAGCCCCCUCGGCCAGGGCCGCACCCAGGAAUCCAGGGUUCAGGCCAUGCUGCGGCCCAGCCCAGGGACCCAGAGAGGAAACAGGGCCCAUUUUAAUGUGUCCCAACCUUCGGGCUUAAGACCUCCCUGGUGGCUCAGAUGGUAAAGCAUCUGCCUACAAAGCGAGAGACUUGGGUUCGAUCCCUGGGAAGAUCCCCUGGAGAAGGCAAUGACACCCCACUCCAGUACCCUUGCCUGGAAAAUCCAAUGGAUGGAAGAGCCUGGUGUGCUGCAGUCCAUGAGCAGUCCAUGAGUCACAAAGAGUCGGACGUGACUGAGUGACUGAACUGAACCGGGGACAUGUCAUCCCUAAAGGUGCCCACACUCAGGGCCUCACCAGGAAUGAGGGGGUGCGGCCACCCCAGGCACUAAUUCACAUCGCAGCUUGAAGAGGGUCUCACGGCACAGGGAGAAGGAAGGAGGAGCAGGUUCCUGGGGCCAUUUGUCUCCCAACCCACCAGCCCCCAUUUGGAUUUUGGAGGAGCAGGCCUACAGAAGCCCUGUGACCCCCAGUGCAGGGCUGGGUCCUAGUUUCCAAUAUCAGCCCCCAAGAAGGCCACUGGGAACCCUUGACAUAUGAAUCCCAGCCAGGGCCUUGGAGUCUCAAGAGGUCAGUUUAGGGGACAUUACCCAGAAUUCCUGGUGGGGGCAGCAGCCUCUGGCUGGGCCUCAGCUCCCCGUGCUGGGCCAGGCGGGCUCCCCCAGGGAGUGGCUGAGGGCUUCACCUCCAGCCCCUGGAAGAUGGGGCCACCCAGCCCCUUGACAGGAGAUUACAACCAGCUAGACAGGAAGAGAAGAGACCCCUGGGAGGGAGUGGUGUGUCAAUCUUCCACGGAGCUGACCGUCAGGAGGAAGGGGAGUCUUGCACCAGGGCCCGUUUUUUGGGUCGUCCUGCCCACUCC